AUUGAACGCUGGCGGCAGGCCUAACACAUGCAAGUCGAACGAGUGGCGGACGGGUGAGUAAUGUCUGGGAAACUGCCUGAUGGAGGGGGAUAACGACUGGAAACGGUAGCUAAUACCGCAUACCAUCGGUUGGGCCCAGAUGGGAUUAGCUAGUAGGUGGGGUAACGGCUCACCUAGGCGACUAUCCCUAGCUGGUCUGAGAGGAUGACGAGCCACACUGGAACGAGGACACGGUCCAGCCUCCAACGGGAGGCAGCGGUGGGGAAUAUUGCACAUUGGGGGCAAGCCUGAUGCAGCCAUUCCGCGUGUAUGAAGAAGGCCUUCGGGUUGUAAAGUACUUUCAGCGGGGAGGCGUUACCCGCCGAAGAAGCGCCGGCUAACUCCGUGCCAGCAGCCGCGGUAAUAC
rnacentral:rRNA from 1 species